CUCUCUAGAACCAAAUGGACCCAAAUCUCCUUUUACUUUUUUUUUACAACUUCUCCCUCUCAGUUUACUGUUGAAAAGGCAAACAAAAUCACUUAGCCGCGCUGCCUCUGUGUCUGUCUUUUCGUUUAAUUAGGGUUUCCGGAUCUGCUCUGCGUCGCCGCCGACCAACCUCCACCGCGCGACGCCAUGGACUUCGACGAGUACGAGUAUCUGGAGAAGACGGUGGAAGCGUUCGCAGCGCCGGCCAACGGUUCGUCGCCGCCCGGGUCGGGGUACAAGGACAAGGAGCGCAGCUCACGCCGCCGCUCAACGGGCGGUGACGAAGAGCGCGACAACGUAGAACGCAGAUCGAAGCGUUCUCGCCCCGAGGAAGGCCGCGACCGCGAUAGAGAGCGGCACAGGUACCGCGACGGCGACCGGCACCGCAGCAGUCGGGAGCGGCGGGACCGUGACCGUGACGUCAAGGAGAAAGAGCAGGGCAGGGAGAACGACAAGGACAGGAGGAGCCGCGACCGCGAACGGGAGAAGGAGGAGAGGGAGAAGGAUAGGCAGCGGAGGAGUCGGAGCCGGUCCGAGCGGCGCCGUGAUGACGAAGAGCGUGAUCGCUACCGUGAACGCGAUGUCAGACGUAGGAAAGAGGAAGUUGCUGAACCUGAAGUUGAUCCAGAAAGAGAUCAGAGGACUGUGUUUGCUUACCAGUUAUCUUUGAAGGCAGAUGAAAGAGAUGUAUAUGAGUUCUUUUCUAGGGCUGGAAAGGUCCGGGAUGUUCGCCUGAUUAUGGAUCGAAAUUCACGACGUUCUAAAGGUGUCGGGUAUAUUGAAUUCUAUGAUGCUAUGUCUGUUCCAAUGGCGAUAGCUCUUUCUGGUCAGUUGCUUCUUGGUCAACAAGUGAUGGUUAAGCCUUCAGAGGCUGAAAAGAAUUUAGUUCAGUCAAAUGCUUCAAGUGGAGCUGCUUCAGGUGGAGCAAGGAAGUUGUAUGUUGGAAAUCUUCACUCAAACAUUAAUGAAGACCAGUUGCGACAGGUCUUUGAACCAUUUGGACAAGUGGAGCUUGUUCAGUUGCCAUUAGAUCCGCUCAGUGGGCUAUGCAAAGGUUUUGGUUUUGUGCAGUUUGCACGUCUUGAAGAUGCAAAAGCGGCCCAGAGUUUGAAUGGGCAACUUGAGAUUGCUGGAAGAGUAAUCAAGGUUUCAGCUGUGACAGACCAAGCAGGCAUGCAAGUUAGUGGAGCUACGGGAGAUUUGGAUGAUGAAGAAGCUGGAGGCUUGGCACUGAAUGCCAGUUCCAGAGCUCUUCUAAUGCAGAAAUUGGACCGCAGCGGCAUUACGACCAGGAUUCAACCACCACUACAGCAACACUGUUUCCAUAUAUAUCUAGCUUAUCAAGGAUGGCGAAUUGAUGAUGUUUGAAAGUGGACAUAAGAGAGGAAUCUUGUUACAAUGCCCUUACCAUUUUGAUGCAGAUUUCAAUGAUUGGCUCCAUAAGAAACUUGAGUUAAAUUUUGUUAUAGUAGAUGUACCCUUUUAUGUGUAGCUUACUCACUGGACACGCCAACCUUUUGUGUUCCUGCAGUUUGACUGGUGGGACGGGCAUUGCUGGUUUGACUACUCCAGUGGCAAUACCAACUGUAUCUGUCCUUGGUGCUGCCCCAGCUGCAGCCCCUCUUCUGCACCCUACAGUGCCUGGUCUUGCAAUUCCCGGGGCAACUCUUCCAAUUACUACCCCAUCUAUUGAUUUGGCUCCACCUAGUCAAUGCCUAUUGCUCAAGAAUAUGUUUGAUCCAGCUUUGGAGACAGAUCCUGAUUUCGAUUUGGACAUCAGAGAUGAUGUUCAGGAGGAAUGUUCCAAGUUUGGUCAAUUAAAACAUAUUUUUGUAGACAAAAGUACUGCCGGUUUUGUGUACCUGCGGUUUGAUAGUAUAACAGCCGCUAUGAGCGCACAGAAAGCACUCCAUGGAAGAUGGUUCGCAGGGAAGAUGAUCACAGCAACUUUUAUGACCCCACAACAGUAUGAAAUGAAGUUCCCGAGCUAGUGAACAGAUGCAUGAUUAAUAUGGACGUAGUUGCUUGGGCUCGGUGGGUGCUGGCAUUUCUAUAUUUUAGCGUUUUGAGCUUGUGUCAACUUAUUACUGGAGGUAAUUAUAAAAAAAACUAGUGGAGGAAAAUUUAGUGGAAGCUAGUGUAUCGGGAAAUGGCUAACGAAAAAUGGUGAAAGAAAGAGUUUCCUUGCCCUGUGGGUUAGUGCUCGAAUUGAAACUGUACUGUGUAAUGGAGUUUCUCCCUGAAGUGCUAGUACUAAUACCUAAAAUGAUGGAAGAAAGAGUUGACUUGCGUUGCGCUUGUUGAUUUGAUUAUACUCGUCCGUACCCUUUGCAUUA